ACUAAACAGUUAGUGUAUUAUACUAUUGUAGUAAAAUAACUAAGAGGUUCCACUAUAAUUAUAUUGUUUUGAAUCCAUUACCUUUGUUAAUUUAUGAAGGGUCUGAAUGCAGUAAACCACUCCACCCCACCAACCAAUGAGGACAAGAGUCAACCUGCUGACAGAAUCACCUAUGCCUCMAUUGACCACUUCAAUCAAAAUCCUCCUCAGAGAGUUGAUGAGCAUAACAAGAACACAUACCUGAGAAUGUGGAGGUGAAGUCYGUGGAGAUCUUCACGUUUCCCUUUUCAGUCAGCGUGCACGUCC